UACGAACCGUCCAAACGUUACUCGGAAUUACUGGGCUUAAAGGGUGCGUAGGCCGCGCGGAGGGUGGGAUGUGAAAUCCCCCGGCUCAACCGGGGAAUAGCGUCCCAAACCGCCGUGCUCGAGGGAGACAGAGGUGAGCGGAACUGAUGGUGGAGCGGUGAAAUGCGUUGAUAUCAUCAGGAACACCAGUGGCGAAAGCGGCUCACUGGGUCUUUCCUAACGCUGAGGCACGAAAGCGUGGGGAGCAAACAGG
rnacentral:rRNA from 1 species